AUGCCUACGGGCCAAAGAGGGGGACCUUCGGGCCUCUCGCGUCAGGAUAUGCCUAGGUGGGAUUAGCUAGUUGGUGAGGUAAGGGCUCACCAAGGCGACGAUCCCUAGCUGGUCUGAGAGGAUGAUCAGCCACACUGGAACUGAGACACGGUCCAGACUCCUACGGGAGGCAGCAGUGGGGAAUAUUGCACAAUGGGCGCAAGCCUGAUGCAGCCAUGCCGCG
rnacentral:rRNA from 1 species